UACGUAGGCAGCGAGCGUUGUUCGGAGUUACUGGGCGUAAAGAGUGCGUAGGCGGUUUCUAAGUUUGGUGUGAAAUCUCCCGGCUCAACUGGGAGGUGCGCCGAAGACUGGAAGGCUUGAGUAUGGGAGAGGUAAGCGGAAUUCCUGGUGUAGCGGUGAAAUGCGUAGAUAUCAGGAGGAACACCUGCGGUGUAGACGGCUUACUGGACCAUAACUGACGCUGAGGCACGAAAGCGUGGGUAGCAAACAGG
rnacentral:rRNA from 1 species